rnacentral:rRNA from 1 species
GACGCUGGCGGCGUGCUUAAUACAUGCAAGUCAACUUGACUUUAGAUAGCAAUAUCGAAAAGUAGGGUGGCGCACGGGUGCGUAACGCGUAGGUAAUCUGCCCUGAGGUCUGACAUAACCCGUCGAAAGGCGGGCUAACAUCAGAUGAUAUAUAAUCACGACAUCGUGGGAAAAUAUCAAAUCUUCGGAGCCUUGGGAUGAGCCUGCGUCUGAUUAGGUAGUUGGCGGAGUAAUAGCCCACCAAGCCUACGAUCAGUAGCUGGUCUGAGAGGAUGAUCAGCCACACUGGAACUGAGACACGGUCCAGACUCCUACGGGAGGCAGCAGUAAGGAAUAUUGCUCAAUGGGGGAAACCCUGAAGCAGCAACGCCGCGUGAAGGAUGAAAUACUUUGUAUGUAAACUUCUGUAAGAUGGGAAAAAUAUUCUCCUCGGGAGAAUUGAUUGUACCAUCAGAGUAAGCCCCGGCUAACUACGUG